rnacentral:rRNA from 1 species
AUGCUCGCCGCUCGGCUGGCUCCAGAGAUACACAACUUGGUCACGCAAAAUCAGAGCGCCUUCAUUCGAGGAAGGUCAAUCCAGGACAAUUUUCUCUAUGUCAAGAAUGUGAUAAAAGCGGCUCACUCGACAAAAUCACCGCUUGUGUUCCUUAAGCUGGACGUGGCCAAGGCCUUCGACUCAGUAUCCUGGGAAUAUUUGUUAGAGGUGAUGGAGGCAAUGGGGUUUGGACAGAGAUGGAGAGACAUGAUUGCUCUGAUAUUGGUGUCGUCCUCUUCUAGAAUACUGUUGAAUGGAACACCCGGAGCGCCUUUUCUCCAUCUCCGUGGCCUGAGCAGGGAGACCAGCUGUCCCCUCUGCUUUUCAUCAUUGCUAUGGAACCACUGCAGAGACUGCUUGUGA